AUGGUGCCUAUGCUGCUGUUGUUCCUUCCGCCUCAUUUCCUCCUCAAUGUUGACAUCAUGCAAAGUAGUCUCUUCACAGUCAUCAACCUCCAUGUCUGUCAAGUGUUUACUAGACCUCAUGGGCAAUAUAGUCUCUAACGUACGGCAUUGCUCAGGUGAAAAAACCCCAGAUUCUGGGAAAUCAACAUUGAAAUGGAUGAAUAGCCUGCCCUUCAUGAAAGGUCUUUGAUGAUGGGGCAUACCCUCAUCAUUGAUAGCCUUGUAUUGACCUGCAUUUUCAAGCAGGGGAGAGGAGAUGAGUGAUUGGACGUCAACUUGGAAAAGUAGUUUAAUAAAUAAAUAUGCAAAGGAAAUUACCAGGCUUAAUGACCUCCCCAGGGUUUGAUUUAAUUAGAAGCUGCCUGCCAUCAAGGUGAGUUAGGGCAAACUGAUACCCACACAGAGCCUCUGUCAAACUGAGGUUGUGUUCAACAUAGAGGUCAUCGAAUUUCCGUUCAAAUUUAGGGUGUUUCUUCAGUUGCAAAAGAAAAACAAUGUCUCCAGUAAUUGUAUCUGGCUGCAAAUGAUGAAAAGCACUUGGUCAAGAUAGAAAUAUUAAAAAAAUGCCACAUACAAGAGAAAAAGUAUUUAACUUACAGCUUCAUCAGCUUGUCCUUCAAAUGUAAUUUUCUGGCCAUUUUGCAUUCCUUUCUCAAUAUGUACUUCAAGCACCUUCUUUUCCUGAGUAACCUUGUUUCCUUUGCACUGUGGGCAUCUAUCUCUCUCACUGAUCACUUCACCUGCAAGGAAGGAGAUGAAAUCCGUGUUCAGAAAUCUGUACAUCGAAUGUGUACCCAGCCCAAGACAAAGCAGGUUAAAUUCAAAUACCUGAGCCUCGGCAUUCAGGACAGACAUGCUGCAUCUGUUGGAUCAUCCCCAGUCCAAUCUGACGUGUUGUAACUUUCAUUCCUGUACCCUGACAACCAUAACAUCUAGAAGAGGCUCCACUCUUUGAACCUUUCCUGAAAAUUUUCAAAAUGCAGGUGAACAAAAGGUCAUCACACAAGGUUCUUCACAGACUAGGAUAUAGGAGAACAAGGAAGGAGGGAAGAUGAACAACUUGCAAGAUAGACUCAUAGACAACAAGCUAUUGACUAAAUACUCAAAAGAAAACAUUUGGCUCAAAGCACCACAUAUCCAAACUCAAAGAGACUCUAGUUAACAGUAAAAAGUUUCUGCGAUGGAAGACAGACCCUUUACAUUUGCUGCAUAGAGCAUUCCUGGAAAGAGAGAGUUUCUUUGUUGUUCCAUUGUACAAGUCUUCCAAAGAAACUUUUAGACUAUGCACAACAUCUUCACCUCGCUUUUGCCUUCUUCCUCUUGAGCUACCACCACCUAAAUGUUGAAAAGACAUGUUAUUAAAAAUUGCUACAGUACUUUCCAAAAGAGGAAGUACAAAAAUGGAUAACAAAAUAAUCUCUUACCACCAAAGGCUCCACCACCAAAAAAUGAUUCAAAUAUGUCAAAUGGGUUAUGAGAAGAAGCACCUCCUCCCAUUCCCUCUUUAAGAGCAUCUUCACCAUAUUGGUCAUAUAUUUCUCUCUUCUCAGGAUCGCUAAGAACUUCAUAAGCUUGAGCC
rnacentral:lncRNA from 1 species